rnacentral:rRNA from 1 species
UACGUAGGGCGCAAGCGUUGUCCGGAAUUAUUGGGCGUAAAGAGCUCGUAGGCGGUUUGUCGCGUCUGCUGUGAAAACCUAAGGCUCAACCUUGGGCUUGCAGUGGGUACGGGCAGACUAGAGUGCGGUAGGGGUGACUGGAAUUCCUGGUGUAGCGGUGGAAUGCGCAGAUAUCAGGAGGAACACCGAUGGCGAAGGCAGGUCACUAGGCCGCAACUGACGCUGAGGAGCGAAAGCAUGGGGAGCGAACAGG